UCCCUGGUGGCUCAGAUGGUAAAGAAUCUGCCUGCAAUGCAGGAGACGCAGGUUCAACCCUGUGUGGGGAA
rnacentral:tRNA from 1 species